UCGGACGUGGUGUACGGCACACAGUCGGCUUGCUUUGACGAUAUCGCUAUACUUAGUCGCUGGCAGUCCGGGGUUCGACUCCCCGCGUCCGAA